GCGGUUUAAAAUGAGCUUGCGUCCUAUUAGCUAGUUGGUGAGGUAAUGGCUCACCAAGGCUACGAUGGGUAGGGGUUCUUAGUGGAAGGUCCCCCACACUGGCACUGAGAUACGGGCCAGACUCCUACGGGAGGCAGCAGUAGGGAAUAUUGGUCAAUGGGCGCAAGCCUGAACCAGCCAUGCCGCGUGCAGGAUGAAGGCUCUCUGAGUUGUAAACUGCUUUUGUACAGGAGCAAAAAAAUCCCUGCGGGGGUUCUUGAGAGUACUGUAAGAAUAAGCACCGGCUAAUUCCGUGCCAGCAGCCGCGGUAAUACGGGAGGUGCAAGCGUUAUCCGGUUUUAUUGGGUUUAAAGGGUGCGUAGGCGGCUUAUUAAGUCAGUUGUGAAAUCCUAGUGCUUAACGCUAGAACUGCGAUUGAUACUAUUAGGCUUGAGUUAAACAAGAGGU
rnacentral:rRNA from 1 species